ensembl:lncRNA
GUAGGGGUUAGACAGUACAGAGACAGGUCAUUAAGGAGCAGGUAGGGGUUAGACAGCAUAGAGACAGGUCAUUAAGGAGCAGGUAGGGGUUAGACAAUACAGAGACAGGUCAUAAAGGAGCAGGUAGGGGUUAGACAGUAGAGACAGGUCAUUAAGGAGCAGGUAGGGGUUAGACAGUACAGAGACAGUUCAUUAAGGAGCAGGUAGGGGUUAGACAGUAGAGACAGGUCAUUAAGGAGCAGGUAGGGGUUAGACAGUACAGAGACAGGUCAUUAAGGAGCAGGUAGGGGUUAGACAGUACAGAGACAGGUCAUUAAGGAGCAGGUAGGGGUUAGACAGUACAGAGACAGGUCAUUAAGGAGCAGGUUGGGGUUAGACAGUAGAGACAGGUCAUUAAGGAGAAG